AUUGAACGCUGGCGGCAUGCUUUACACAUGCAAGUCGAACGGUAACAGGCCGCAAGGUGCUGACGAGUGGCGAACGGGUGAGUAAUGCAUCGGAACGUGCCCAGUCGUGGGGGAUAACUACUCGAAAGAGUAGCUAAUACCGCAUACGAUCUAUGGAUGAACGCGGGGGACCGUAAGGCCUCGCGCGAUUGGAGCGGCCGAUGUCAGAUUAGGUAGUUGGUGGGGUAAAGGCUCACCAAGCCAACGAUCUGUAGCUGGUCUGAGAGGACGACCAGCCACACUGGGACUGAGACACGGCCAAGACUCCUAAGGGAGGCAGCAGUGGGGAAUGUUGGACAAUGGGCGCAAGCCUGAUCCAGCAAUGCCGCGUGCAGGAAGAAGGCCUUCGGGUUGUAAACUGCUUUUGUACGGAACGAAACGGCUCUGGUUAAUACCCGGGGCUAAUGACGGUACCGGAAGAAUAAGCACCGGCUAACUACGUG
rnacentral:rRNA from 1 species